CCAGGUGAGGGACAGCCAUCCUCCCACCACCCCCGUUGCCGUCCCCACCCCGUGGCGCGGCGGGCGGCACUCACGGUACUGGCAGCGGUCCCCGAUGAAGGUGGGCAGGCAGCGGCAGCUGGGCUGGUUGCCCUGGUUGACGGUGCAGCUGCCGUUGUGCUGGCAGUAGUCCGUGCACACCUGCUGGUUGCACCGGGGCCCGGUGAAGCCGGUGGGGCAGCGGCAGGUCGGCAUUCCUAGGGAGAAAUCAAUCCCGUUAGCUCUGUGCUCGCUUGUCUGUCUGUCUGUCUGUCUGUCCAUCACCGACCCCCCCGGCUCACCUGAGGGGGAGGCGGCGCAGGUGCCCCCGUUCUGGCAGUAGUCCCAGCACUGGUCGAUCUGGCACUUGUCGCCGUUGUAGCGCGGCUGGCAGCGGCACUUGGCCUGCUUGCGGGCGUUGAGGAAGCAGCUGCCGCCGUUCAGGCACACCAGGUCACACGUGUCGGUGGUGGGCACUGCGAGGGAGGCGUGGAGGGGAUGGAAGUGAGCGGGACCGCGCUGGCAGCGCCCAACUUCCAUCCUCAUCAUCAUCCUCAUCCUCAUCCUCAUCAUCAUCCUCAUCAUCGUCCUCGUCCUCAUCCUCAUCCUCGUCCUCGUCCUCGUCCUCGUCCUCAUCCUCAUCCUCGACCUCAUCCUCAUCAUCAUCCUCAUCCUCAUCAUCAUCCUCAUCAUCAUCCUCGACCUCAUCCUCAUCCCCAUCAUCAUCCUCAUCCUCAUCCUCAUCCUCAUCAUCAUCCUCGUCCUCGUCCUCAUCCUCAUCCUCAUCAUCGUCCUCGUCCUCAUCCUCAUCAUCAUCCUCAUCAUCGUCCUCGUCCUCGUCCUCGUCCUCAUCCUCGUCCUCGUCCUCGUCCUCAUCCUCAACCUCAUCCUCAUCAUCAUCCUCAUCCUCAUCAUCAUCCUCAUCAUCAUCCUCGACCUCAUCCUCAUCAUCAUCCCCAUCCUCAUCCUCAUCCUCAUCCUCAUCAUCAUCCUCGUCCUCGUCCUCAUCCUCAUCCUCGUCAUCAUCCUCAUCCUCAUCCUCGUCAUCAUCCUCAUCAUCAUCAUCAUCCUCAUCCUCAUCCUCGUCCUCAUCCUCAUCCUCAUCCUCAUCCUCAUCCUCAUCCUCAUCCUCAUCAUCAUCCUCGUCCUUGUCCUCAUCCUCAUCCUCAUCCUCAUCAUCAUCCUCGUCCUCGUCCUCAUCCUUGUCCUCGUCCUCAACCUCAUCCUCAUCCUCAUCCUCGUCCUCGUCCUCGUCCUCAUCCUCGUCCUCAUCCUCAUCAUCAUCCUCAUCCUCAUCAUCAUCCUCAUCCUCAUCCUCAUCCUCGUCCUGUCCUCCUCCGGUGUCACCUACCGACNGGGGAGACGGUGGGGGAGGGAAUGACCACGCAGGUGCCGUUGUCCAGGCGUUUGCCGUUGGGGCAGGUGCACACGGGGCCGCUGGGGCUGAGCAGGCAGAGCCACUCGCACUUCUUGCGGUCACAGGGGUUGGUCACUGCGGGAGGGGAGGGCACAGGCGGUGAGGACAGCAGGGAGGGGACAGCGGGGUGGUGACAGCACGGUGACCCCCAGCCCUUCUUACUCCACAGCACCUCUAGGACACUCCUCUCCACAGCCCUGUGCUGUCCCUCCCUGAGGUCACCAGUGCAGCUGGACUCCCCCAACCCACCUCAGCAACCCCCUGCUCUGCCCACCCAGACACCCCCACUCCAGGCAGGGAGUUGGGGCUCUGAGCCCCCAGUUCCCAAGCUCUGCCAACGCCCCCCUCACCCUCUGGCACCUCACAUCAGGUACCGAUCCCUGGCACCUCCCCACCACCCCAGGAGCAGGGUGGGGGUCCCAGGCCCCCACACACCCUCUGGCUGCUUGUACUGGUGGUAGAGCACGACGUCGGUGGCGUGGUUGAGGCCGGACGUCAGGUUGGUGACAGGCUUGUGCCCGAACUUGUGGAUCUUGAAGAUGCGGUUGUUGAUGUAGGUGACGCCGUAGAUGUAGUCCUCAAAGAUGUCGAUGCUGAACGGGUGGCUCAGCCCUGGGGAAGCCAGAAGGGGACAUGUGGAGGCAGGGAUUUGGGGUGGCUCCGAGGCCAGGGACCCCCACGGGGCACCCCUUACCCUUCUUGUUGUCGAUGGCCACGACGGGGUCGGUGCCGUUGAGCCGGAUGCUGCCGAUGACGGAGAGCUUGGCGUCGGCCCAGUACAGCCUCUCGUUGUGGUAAUCCACGGCCAGGCCUGAGGGGACACAGCCUCCAGUCAGCCCCCAGUCCACCCCAAGCCCCUCCUGACCAACUGACCCACAGAGCAGCCCCCCACCACCCCAUGACCUGCUGUGGGGCUCCCCAACCCUCCCCAACACAAAUGGUUGAACGUGUCCCCAUUAUUUGUCCCCUCUCCUGUCACCCGUCUCUGUCACCUGUUGGCCACUGGAUGUUGUCCUGCACCAGGGUCUCCCGCAGCGUCCCAUCCAUGGCGGCCGUCUCGAUCUUGGGGUGAUUGCCCCAGUCUGACCAGUACAUCGUUCUGUGAGGACACAGGCAGAUCAUUCCUGGGGAACA
ensembl:lncRNA